GACACUGAUUCACGGCCGCGGUAUCCAGCACGGUGCGAAGGUAGCAUAAUCACUUGUUCUUUAAAUGGGGACUAGUAUGAAAGGCACCACGAGGGCUUUACUGUCUCCUUUCUCCAAUCAGUGAAACUGAUCUCCCUGUGAAAAAGCAGGAAUAUUGAUAUAAGACGAGAAGACCCCAUGGAGCUUUAAACCCAAUGACACCCCGAACACUCCCAACCCAUUAGAGUUUUAUAAGUACUGUCCAUUGGUUUUAGGUUGGGGUGACCGCGGAGAACAAAAUAACCUCCAUGACGAACGGGACUAACCCCUAAUCCAAGAGCCACAGCUCUAAGAAUUAACAUAUUAACGUUAACUGAUCCAAUCAAUUGAUCAACGAACCAAGUUACCCUGGGGAUAACAGCGCAAUCCAUUUUGAGAGCCCCUAUCGAAAAAUGGGUUUACGACCUCGAUGUUGGAUCAGGGUACCCAGGUGGUGCAGCCGCUACCAAUGGUUUGUUUGUUCAACAAUUAAAACCCUACGUGAUCUGAUUUCAGACCGGAGGAUCGACUGUUUAUCAAAAACAUAUACGUGAUCUGAGUUCAGACCGGAGCGACUGUUUAUCAAAACAUAUACGUGAUUUUAUUUCAGAAACGGAGCGCCU
rnacentral:rRNA from 1 species